rnacentral:tRNA from 1 species
GGGUGACCCGGCCUUCUUCUUCCUCAAUUGCUAGAGCAGCGGACUCUUAAUCCGGAGGUUCAAGGUUCGAUUCCUUGGUCACCCGCCG